AAUUAUUCAACGUCUUUUUCUCAUAUAAAAUUAUUAUUUUCUUUUAAUAUUUAUUUUUUAUUUUAUAAAUUAAGUGGUUUAUUAAAAACAUGUCAUUAAGCUUCCGGCGAAUCUGUAUGCGGAAGCAACUCGAGAAUUUUCUAUGGAUGCACCAAAGAAUGUACGACCAGCCAGACGGAAGAAGUCUGUUCGAUGGUCGCCUGAAAGGCAGAUAAUUGGUAAGCUGAAAUUCAGUUUCGCCCAUUCGUCUAUUUUUGUUGUUUAGCGGAAUUCGCGUUGUUAGAACUAUUCUGAUUCCGAAUUGAUUCGCGACUUCAAUUCGUCAAUUUUGUUUUCUUGCGUCGAUUGCUGUGAUGAUGUAAUCGUUCCGCGACUCGGUCUCUGUAGAACCCUAGACCUCCAUACGGUGUCGUAUUACAUUACAUCGUAGUUUGACUGAUAGCAUUUUCUUCAUUAGAUGUAUACAUUUCAAAUAUGGAUGAUGCAAUUGUGAUUAGGGUUUUGUGAUUA